GGGGAAGUUUAGGAGGAAGCCUUCUGAGAAGACUGGUGGGAGAGGAGAGCCUGCAGACAAAGGCCUCCAGCUUGGAGGAAAAGCUUUCGGACUGCUGAAGGCCCAGCAGGAAGACAGGCUGGAUGAAAUCAACAAGCAAUUCCUAGACGAUCCCAAAUAUAGCAGUGAUGAGGAUCUGCCCUCCAAACUGGAAGGCUUCAAAGGUGAGGGGGAAACUGUAGGGGGUGGAGACGGGGCUGGGGGUAGGAGGGUUAGGAUUUCCAUAAGAACAAGGCAGGAACAGCAGAGAUACAAAGUUUACUUUUGUGGUAGCAAGAGGGGAACCUGCCUUUAUUGCCCUCCUGCCACACUGCCGUCCCUUUCCCAGGCCUGCCUCUCUCAGCAUCCCCUCUAGCUCCUUACACCCUAGCGGGGGCCCCUCAACUCCCCAACCCCACUUCCUCUGCCUGCCCCUCCUCCUCCUUCCACGUUGUCUCCUCCACCUAGCAGUUGGUUGGCAACCCCUUCCUCAGUCCCCUGCUGAAAACCCUCCAGUCAGCGCUUAUCCCUUCUGCUCUUUCCCCUCACCCAGAGAAAUACAUGGAGUUUGACCUUAAUGGAAAUGGCGAUAUUGGUGAGAAACGGGUGAUUUACGGGGGCAGGGUGUUGUGCAGGCCUAAGAAGACAGAGGUCUCUCCUACAUGCUCCAUUCCUCAUGAUUUGGGAGGGGGCCCACCUACCAGAGUGGGAGGAAGGAGAAUGGGGAUGUGGAAGUGGGAGAGGACAGAGAGGGUCUCCCCACCUCUCCCCAUCCCCAUCCUCUGCCCC
rnacentral:sRNA from 1 species